AUUGAACGCUGGCGGCACGCCUAACACAUGCAAGUCGAGCGGUAGCAUGAUCUGUAGCAAUACAGAUUGAUGACGAGCGGCGGACGGGUGAGGAACACGUAGGAACAUGCCCAGAAGCGGGGGACAACUAAGGGAAACUUUAGCUAAUACCGCGUACCCUCGAGAGAGGAAAGCUGCCGCAAGGUGGCGCUUUUGGAGUGGCCUGCGUCCGAUUAGCUAGUUGGUAAGGUAAAAGCUUACCAAGGCGAUGAUCGGUAACUGGUCUGAGAGGACGACCAGUCACACUGGACUGAGACACGGCCCAGACUCCUACGGGAGGCAGCAGUGGGGAAUAUUGGACAAUGGGGGCAACCCUGAUCCAGCGAUGCCGCGUGGGUGAAGAAGGCCUUCGGGUUGUAAAGCCCUUUAGGUUGGGAAGAAGGUUGGUAGUUUAAGAGAUAAUCAACUUGACGGUACCGACAGAAUAGCACCGGCAAACUCUGUGCCAGCCGCCGCAGUAAAAC
rnacentral:rRNA from 1 species